rnacentral:rRNA from 1 species
UACGGAGGAUGCAAGCGUUAUUCGGAAUCAUUGGGUUUAAAGGGUCCGCAGGCGGGUUGUUAAGUCAGGGGUGAAAUCUUACAGCUCAACUGUAAAAUUGCCUUUGAUACUGGCAAUCUUGAAUCAUUAUGAAGUGGUUAGAAUGUGUAGUGUAGCGGUGAAAUGCUUAGAGAUUACAUAGAAUACCGAUUGCGAAGGCAGAUCACUAACAAUGUAUUGACGAUCAGGGACGAAAGCGUGGGGAGCAAACAGG